rnacentral:rRNA from 1 species
CAACUUUUAGCAACGGAUCUCUUGGCUCUCGCAUCGAUGAAGAACGCAGCGAAAUGCGAUAAGUAAUGUGAAUUGCAGAAUUCAGUGAAUCAUCGAAUCUUUGAACGCACCUUGCGCUCCUUGGUAUUCCGAGGAGCAUGCCUGUUU